GAGGGGAGAGAGGUUGUCGUUACCUCCGCGCGAGCGCUGGUGUCGGCGCUGCCGACGCCCACAAGUGGCGUUAGUGACCACAGCCGUCACUAGAUGUCGUUAAAGUCCAGAAUCGUAACUGUGGCUGUCAAGCCUGAGAUGGCCUUGACUUCGGUUAACGUACCCGAGCGGUCGUCGCUCCUGGCUUCUCUUCUGAGAAGAAAGGGUCAGGUAGCGAAUCCCUCACUUGACUCGUUCCGGAUGUGGCUGGGGCGCGCUCCGAACGGGAGGGUCACUGAUCGGUGAGAACCGGCUGAAGGUAGCGUCGGUACGACGUCAACAUAUAUGAAUACUUUAUAAUAUAUGUAUUGAAAUAUUAUUUGAGUUUAGGAAAAUUGUUACUGUAGAGUGUAUAUGAUUGAUUGAUUAUUGAAAAAAAAUUCCUUCUGACAACCAUUAA